rnacentral:rRNA from 1 species
CAAUAGCGUAUAUUAAAGUUGUUGCGGUUAAAAGCUCGUAGUUGGAUUUCUGCCGAGGACGACCGGUCCGCCCUCUGGGUGAGUAUCUGGUUCGGCCUGGGCAUCUUCUUGGAGAACGUAUCUGCACUUGACUGUGUGGUGCGGUAUCCAGGACUUUUACUUUGAGGAAAUUAGAGUGUUUCAAGCAGGCACACGCCUUGAAUACAUUAGCAUGGAAUAAUAAGAUAGGACCUUGGUUCUAUUUUGUUGGUUUCUAGAGCUGAGGUAAUGAUUAAUAGGGAUAGUUGGGGGCAUUCGUAUUUAACUGUCAGAGGUGAAAUUCUUGGAUCGGCGGAAGACGAACUACUGCGAAAGCAUUCGCCAAGAAUGUUUUCUUUAAUCAAGAGCGAAAGUCAGAGGUUCGAAGACGAUCAGAUACCAU